UUGGAUAAAAAAGGGGAAGGGUGUGUGGCGAAGAUAGGCACUUCUCUCUCCGCUAUUGCUCACUGACUCCCACCUAUUUGUGCGCGCUCUUUGUUUCAUUGUGCCAAUUGUUUGUCAAUGUUUAUCAAUGCCCCGUGAAAUACAUAUUCAUCAAUGAAGUUACUGUUAAUCACAAAAUAUCCCCCCAUUAAUUUAGAAUGUUGGAUUCUGUAAAUGUUGAUAAUUCAUUCAAUAUAAUAUACAUUCAUAGCAUUCUCAUUCUCCAACUGGAGAAUUGUUUGAUGAGCUCACAAACUGCACAUUAGUUGUGAUAAAGAAUUUUUGGUUUAUUUAAUUGCAUUUACCAGUUUAGGCCUACUGUCUGUCUGAGAUCUCAUGAAAGGAGGAGUUGGGACCGGAAAGAGAGCGGAAAGAGAGCAGAGUGGAUGCAACAGAAAGGAGGAAGACAAGUAUGCUCACAUGUCCCCAUCACUUCCAUUCAGUGUUAGCUUGUGUUGACUAAAGUUGGCUGAAGUUUGUAUUGACUACUUAAAGAGAACUGAACCAUGGAUUACAGUUUCUCCUGGUACAUAGACUACUUUCAGUGUGAUGAACCAUCUAAUAUCAAGUUGUAAAAUAGUGAACUACUCCUUUAAGGCCCAGUAGGUAAAACGGUUCUCAUAAAUCCUGCUUUGUGUUCUCUACCCAUUCUGUCCUGGCUGGCUAUUCCCAUCCCUUCCGCCAGGGCACCAGAACCUUACUGUUUCCCAGGCUCUGUUUGUUUAGUGUAAUUGCCUCGGGUGGGAAUCAGGUGCUACUGCCUCAGUGGAGACUGGAGACUACAGCGCCCUCACUCAUCCUCCUACCUUCCUACCUACCUCCCUCCCUCCCUUGUCCUCCCCAUGGCCCUGACUGCAGCCAGAGAACACAAAGAGACCGAGUGGGAAGGCUUUGUCACCCCCCACCGCCCUGAUGUCGAAGUUGGUAGGCUGUUGUCCCACUCCUCUGGGAACCUCACCUCCCAGGCGACCAGCGUUGCCAAGGAACUAAUCCUGAGGGACAAAAGGUGGGAACGGGGUGGAAUACGAUGCCUCCAUAGCAGGGAUCAUCAACUAGAUUAAGCUGCAGGCUUUUGGUCACGGGGCCGUAACAUAAUUACGAAUCAUUUUUUAGACUGCAAUUUGACUGCCCAAACAGAUAUAAUAUUUGACUAAAACAUCAUCAUUUCAAACCUUGCUUACCUUUGUAUACGAUCACGUAUAUGUAUCUAUUAUGUGUGGGAAUAGUUUAGAACAGAUUUCCAAAUUUACAAUCACUUGAAGCUGAUUUGUUGGUGUUUUUACAGUAUUUUAUGAACAAACAUGGAAAUAAACUCUCAGAAAACUUGGAGGGCCAAAUAAAAUCAGAGAGAAACAGCAUCUGAUUGGUUGGCGUUGGGCCACGCAAUCGUCUGAUUUAUACCAAUGAUGUGUUUAAACCCUGGAUGACUGACAGGGAGGCUGAAUUGAAACCACCACACAGCCAUCUUGGUACUCCUCCAAUGUAAAAAAAAAAAAAAAAAGAUUUUGGAAGCUAUAGAAAUGCAUUUAUUAAUGUCUACAUUCGUUUUUGACACAUUUAUUAUAUUACAGACACCUUAAUGCAUACUUUGAAAUGAUAUUAAGUGAGAUAAAAAUGAAAAUGAAAAAUGAACAAAUAUAUAGAACGAUUUUCCUUAAAGUUUAUUUUGUUGAGAAUACUGCUACUAUCCACCUACAACAACAAACAUACUUAAAUACUUGUAAUUCUGUCUUUGAAAUACUGUAGAAUUCCAUUCAUUCCUUUGGAGGACUGCUCCUACUGGGGAGUGACAAUAUGGCCAAACAGUGGCUUCAUAGCCUCUUAAUGGCUAAUACAUAGCAUUGGCAAUGCAGAGUUUAUAUACAGUACCAGUCCAAUGUUUGGACACACCUACUCAUUCAAGGGUUUCUCUUAAUUUUUUACUAUUUUCUACAUUGUAGAAUAAUAGUGAAUACAUCAAAACUAUGCAAUAACACAUAUGGAAUCAUGUAGUAACCUGAUGCAGUACUCCAUCACUCUCCUUCUUGGUCAGAUAGCCCUUACACAGCCUGGAGGUGUGUUAAGUCAUUGUCCUUUUGAAAAACAAAUGAUAUUAGUCACACUAAGCACAAGCCAGGUGGGAUGGCGUAACACUGCAGAAUGCUGUGGUAGCCAUGCUGGUUAUGUCACGCCCUGACCAUAGAGAGCCAUUGUUUCUCUAUGGUGUAGUAGGUCAGGGCGUGACUAGGGGGUGAUCUAGUAUAUCUAUGUCUAUGUUGUGUUCUAGUUUCUUUUUCUAUGUUGGUGUUUUGUAUGAUUCCCAAUUAGAGGCAGCUGGUAUCAUUGUCUCUAAUUGGGGAUCAAAUUUAAGUAGUUAUUUUUCCCACCUGUGUUUGUGGGAUCUUGUUUAUGUGUAGUUGCCUGUGAGCACUCAUUGUCGUCACGUUUCGGUCAUUCGUUAUUGUUUUUGUGCGUUUCCGUUAAUAAACAUGUGGAAACCAUAUCGCACUGCACCUUGGUCCGAUAGUUCUUACGACGAACGUGACAGGUUAAAUUGAAUUCUAAAUAAAUCACUGACCGUGUCAGAACAAAUUUCUACCGCUCUAAUGUCCAUUGCUCGUGUUUCUUGGCCAAAGCAAAUCUUUUCUUCUUAUUGGUGUCCUUCAGUAGUGGUUUCUUUGCAGCAAUUCAACCACGAAGGCCUGAUUCACAGUCUCCUCUGAGCAGUUGAUGUUGAGAUGUGUCUGUUACUUGAACUCUGUGAAGCAUUUAUUUGGGAUGCAAUUUCUGAGGCUGCAGUUAACUCUAAUGAACUUGUCCUCUGCAGCAGAGGUAACUGUGGGUCUUCCUUUCCUGUGGCUGUCCUCAUGAGAGUCCGUUUCAUCAUAGCGCUUGAUGGUUUAUGCGACUGCACUUAAAGAAACUUUCAAAGUUCUUGAAAUGUUCUGCAUUGACUGACCUUAAUGUCUUAAAGAAAUUAUGGACUGUUGUUUCUCUUUGCUUAUUUGAGCUGUUCUUGCCAUAAUAUGGACUUUUACCAAAUAGGGUUAUCUUCUGUAUACCACCCCUACCUUGUCACAACACAACUGAUUGACUCAAACUCAUUAAUUAAGAAGGACAUUCCAAAAAUGUACUUUCAACAAGGUACAGCUGUUGAUUGAAAUGCAUUCCAGGUGAGAAGCAUGUUGAGAUAAUGCCAAGAGUGUGCAAAACUGUCAUCAGGGCAAAGGCUGGCUACUUUUAAGAAGCUCAAAUAUAAAAUAUAUUUUGAUUUGUUUAACACUUUUUUGGUUACUACUUUAUUCCAUUUGUAUUAUUUAAUAGUUUUGAUGUCUUUACUGUUCUACAAUGUAGAACAUAGUAAAAACCUGGAAUGAGUAGGUGUGUCCAGAUUUUGACUGGUACUGUACAUAAUUGGUUUAUACCCAUUCAACACAUCUCUCUCUCACACACACACACACACACACACACACACACACACACACACACACACACACACACACACACACACACACACACACACACACACACACACACACACACACACACACACACACACCACCCCUUCAUCUUGCGAUAGGCCAUGGGUAAGUUAUUUGCACUGAGCUGAGAGUAGACAGAAAGAUCAAGAAAAGAGAAAGAGGGAGAGAGAUGACUUAAUAAAGAAGUGUCUGUGGUGUAAUGGAGCGCUGAGACACAAUGCCAAGAAUGUGGUGAGAGCCCUGGGUUCGAUGGGUUUCUCACACACACGUUCAUAGUGUGUGAAUGUACACACACAUCUUUGCACGUACGUGGAUAAACAUACUCCUUGCAGCAGUGAAGUCUGGAUUAGCAGUGGAUAAAUGUCUUGAUCCAGACUAGGACUGCAUCCCAGUCUCAACUGAUCCGCUAUCCCCUUUACAUGGCGAAUGAUUCUGCAUUGCCCAACACCUACAUAUUCAACACAGCAAUGGGCAGUGUCACAAUCACAGUACUCUAAAUCUAUGGCUUCAUUUCCAAAGGGAUUGUGUGUCGGUGUAGCGGCCUUUUGACUCAGUGCAUUGGUCCAUAUCCCACUUCAUUAUGAUAGGCUAAUUUAUUGAAACUGUCACACAUUUUCUCACACCCCUCCACUGCAGCCCAAACCCAAUUUUGUCAGAACAGAUCCACUGUGUUUGCAGUCUGACCGCUGGUCAGGUCAGGGUCAGGCUUCACUGUGAGGUUUGAACUGCUUCUCGACUGCUGGGUCUGGAGUAGGCAGGUUCCCAGGCUCCUUUGCUCUUAACUCCAGAUUAAUUAUGCUCUACUGAGCUGGAAACAAACUGGUGCUCUUCCCACUGCUCACCAGCAGUGCUGGCUAUCUCUCUCUCUCACACACACACACACACACACACACACACACACACACACACACACACACACACACACACACACACACACACACACACACACACACACACACACACACACACACACACACACACACUGAGUAUACCAAACACCUUCCUAAUAUAUUGAGUUGCACCCUUUUGCCCUCAGAACAACCUAAUUUCGUCAGGGCAUGGACUCUACAAGGUGUCGAAGGUGUUCCACAGGGACACUGGCCCAUGUUGACUCCAAUGCUUCCCACAUUUGUGUCAAGGUGUCAAGUUCUUCCACACCGAUCUCGACUAACCAUUUCUGUAUGGACCUCGCUUUGUGCACGAGGGAAUUGUCAUGUGUGAUGCACACAAAAUGUAUGGUCACAUUUGUGUUUAUGUAUUGUUUCUUUGUAUUGGGGAAGAAUCCUUUUACUGAAAUGUCAGUCCUCCAAGGUUUUGCCAUUGCGAUACAUUUAUUCUACUGUUGGCCAGUAGGGGACAGUGUUCACUUCACACUGGGAUGUGAUCCUGCACCUGUGUGUUCUCAUAAUUGAGAGAACCUUAGAAAGAGGAGCCACUUUCUCCUGUUUCAUCAUUAAUCCUGUGUUACAGGUCAGUAAAGUGCAAAAUUACGCUGAAUACAAAAAUAUAGUUUUGUAACUUGCCUGAUGAAGUGAAUGUAAUGGUUGUGAAAAACAUAGUAAUUGUAAAACUGUGUACUAUACAGAAAACGCACGUCGAGUGUAAAAUGAAAUGAUGGCGUUGCUUUCCUUUGAUCUAGGAAAGAACUAAGUUAACUCAUGACCAUUUAUAUUUUUGAAAAAGACACUCCUGACAAUAUCCUAAGGGUUUAGAGAACAUAAUGUUGUAACUGUGAUGUUUUAGAACUUUUUAAUUGUUGUGCUGUAUAUGUUAGAAAAGCCGCUAGCUUUUGGCUAACUCCUGUUAGCUGUUUGCUAACUCCGGUCAGUUGGUUGCUAGCUUGCUAGGUUUUUGCUAGCUUGUUCAGUAAUUUUCCAAUAAUUAGCAUUAAUGUCAUUUGUAAUAGUCUUGUCUUUCUAUCAGCCCUUCGUACACUGGGUGAAUGUAUUUUGAGCAUGGGUAUGAAGUAACUUCAAAUAAAUUAUACCAGUCUUUAAAGGCUUUCAUGAUUUAGAGUCUCCUAUGGGGCUAUAGUGGGCAACAGCCAACUACAUCAUUAUAUCCUAAACAGGUGAAUUCAAGUUAAGAAUAAAUGUGUUUGGGGUAUAAAUGCAAAGAAUUUUAGGAUGUGAAUUGAAUUGGAAUAUAAUAUUUUUUAUGUGUAAAUGUAUGUAUUUUUGAUAUGUUUAUAUAAUAUAUAUAUAAUAAUAAUAAAAUAAUUGAGAAACUUUGAAAGAGAA